AAGAGUCCUAAGUUCCUCUUCCUGUGGUAACAACUACUUAUGUGGUUUUCAUUAUGAUGUCACUAGAUGAAAUACAAAGCUUUACUAAACUCAAGGUGACUAUAUUCAGCAUUAAACUUCACACCACAAACCCUGCAAUUUCCUUUUCCACACAAAGGCAAUUUUGACUUAAGAAGUAACGACUACUUCUCGCUUUCUUCUUAGCAUGGAAGCUGGCUUAAAGUGGCAGCCAGUUUCUGGAUACGACCUUUAUCCAUCACCUGUGUCAGUAUGGACUGGGACUUCAAAGAGGAGUCAGCAGAUUCUCUCUCCUUCAUUUUGGGAGUUUUGGGUUUUA